GAGCACGUAGGUGGGUUUGUAAGUCAGAUGUGAAAGCCUCCUGUUCAACGGGAGAAUUGCAUCUGAAACUACUGAUCUUGAGUGUAGGAGGGGAGAAUGGAACUUCUGGUGGAGCGGUGAAAUGCGUAGAUAUCAGAAGGAACGCCAGCGGCGAAAGCGAUUCUCUGGCCUAUUACUGACACUCAGUGUGCGAAAGCUAGGGGAGCAAACGGGAUUAGAUACCCCGGUAGUCCUAGCCGUAAACGAUGGGCACUAAGUAGAGGGGUUUU
rnacentral:rRNA from 1 species